rnacentral:rRNA from 1 species
UACAGAGGGUGCAAACGUUGCUCGGAAUCAUUGGGCGUAAAGCGCACGUAGGCGGCCUGAUAAGUCGGUAGUGAAAGCCCUCGGCUUAACCGAGGAAGUGCUAUCGAAACUGCCAGGCUUGAGUACCGGAGAGGAUCGCGGAAUUCCCGGUGUAGAGGUGAAAUUCGUAGAUAUCGGGAGGAACACCAGUGGCGAAGGCGGCGAUCUGGACGGAUACUGACGCUGAGGUGCGAAAGCGUGGGGAGCAAACAGG